rnacentral:lncRNA from 1 species
CUUUUAAUUGUAUUCUAUUUUUUUAAGAAAAAAAUUACCGUGGAUUACAUGUGUCGACCACUCACACUUAGACUGUGGGAUUAAUAUGCUCAUAUAUUUGUUGACGUCAAAAUGCGAAUGUUGACGUGUCACACACGAACGCCUAGGAGUCAAUGUUAGACAGCUCCAGUGCAGGACCUAAAUCUUAGAAUGCGUGGACGUGUCAGCCAGUUUGAUCCUGCAACUGAUAAGAUAAGCAAUAAAACAAGUCGAUAGGCUAUUGAGCCGAUAGGUAACUAAAACUCCAGCUGAUCAGAUGUUGACGCUACAAUGGUUAGCUGAUAGGAUGAACGAUCGGCUAUAAAAAGCUUGGAUUGGCUAGAAACUUGAUAGAAAUAGAGUUAAAUUAAAUAUUAGACCAAUAUAAUCCGCUAAGUUAUUUAUUAAUCUUAAUCGAUCGAAUGAACCCCUAUAACCAGAUCGAACUAGACGUACAGAGAUUGGACUUAACCAAGACAGUAUGCGGUCGAGCACGAUAUAAUUAUAUAAAACAUGAAGAUCAAUAAGGCUAAUAAAUAAACCGACGAAUUACUUGGAAUAAACAAUGAAUCAUGUGUUACGAUCGACUAAACCUAACUUGCACAUAAUUCUCAUAAGCCGAUGCAACAUAAAUAAUUACCGGUC